UACGAAGGGGGCUAGCGUUGCUCGGAAUUACUGGGCGUAAAGCGCACGUAGGCGGUCUUUUAAGUCGGGGGUGAAAUCCUGGAGCUCAACUCCAGAACUGCCUCGAUACUGAAAGACUUGAGUCCGGGAGAGGUGAGUGGAACUGCGAGUGUAGAGGUGAAAUUCGUAGAUAUUCGCAAGAACACCAGUGGCGAAGGCGGCUCACUGG
rnacentral:rRNA from 1 species